UAAUUCAACUACAAGAACUUA
rnacentral:tRNA from 1 species